rnacentral:rRNA from 1 species
UACGUAGGUGACUAGCGUUGUCCGGAUUUACUGGGCGUAAAGAGCGCGCAGGCGGUCGUUCAAGUCGAGUGUGAAAGCCCCCGGCUCAACUGGGGAGGGUCAUUCGAUACUGAUCGACUCGAAGGCAGGAGAGGGAAGCGGAAUUCCCGGUGUAGUGGUGAAAUGCGUAGAUAUCAGGAGGAACACCGAUGGCGAAGGCAGGUCUCUGGGCAUUACCUGACGCUGAGGAGCGAAAGUGUGGGGAGCGAACAGG